ACUAACGUGUCACGUCAGAUUUUUUUAUCGCGUAGCGACAGGUUUGUCACGAAGUUUUAGAGUUAUCACGCCGCGAUAAAAAUGUCGCGCUUCGCUAGAAUUAGGUUUCACUUUAAAAAUCUUCUUCUUAUCUUUUUCAAUUUCAUUUUCGCUGCUCUGUUGUUACUGUUUUCGCCGCUUAAUCACUCAUUGUCGCUCAUUUUCUCAUCAAAUGAUUUCAAACUUUUUGCUAAUCUUCACAUUUAAAAUUCCUCACACACAUCUAUGUAAGUUUCCUUAAAUUAUUUUCCAUUUUGGCAGAAAAUUAGCGAAUUUUGUUCGAAAAAAACCCUCAAUACUCGAAUUAGGGUUUUCUUAUUUUGCUAAUUUUUGUUGAAACUCUUGUCAUGAAUUUGCUUGUAUAUGAAUGUAUGUUAAUUUGUGAGCAUUUUGAGACUAAUUUUUCUUGAUUUGGUGGAGAAAUGGGCAUUUCACCAUUAUUGAACACUCUAUGUUCGAGAUAACCAUGUUUCUUGUCCUUCAUUGUUUUUCUUGCUUCUUUUCUCUUGGAAUAUUGUAAGAAAUGUUUUAGAUUUGAAAAAAAAAAUCAUUUUAUGCAAUUUUCUUGUUUUUAUGCGAGUUGAAUCGUGCUUUAUUUUGCAUUUUUGUUACUUUAUUUUGACUUAUAUAGUAUCAUGUGGCUUAGGGAAACGAAAACUUUUGUAUGUAUUGAUUUAUUGUUUCUGGAAUAAAUAGCAUGCCUCGUUGCGUUUGUGGUUCUGUUUUGCGCUCUCGGUCUAAAGAUCGGGAGGAUUCUCCUAUUCGGGAGGAGAAGGAGAGAGGUGAGGUUCGUGCCUCCACCAGUCGUUCUUUAGGCUGGACCCCUUCUCCUUGGGAUGGGCACACGUUAGUUUUCGUCCUGACACACCACAUUUCUCACUGAGUUUUCUCGAGUUCGUCAGAGGAGGGUAUGCGUUGCCAUGGCUUAGGCAAUGAGUUCAUCCUCAGUUUGCAUCGGCACAUAAGUCGAAAUGAUGCGACUAGGGUGCUUUGGGAGUCUUGUGGAUUGACUGCCCUACUGCGCGUUGUUGAGACCUUCAGGAAGAGCCCUUUCAUUGUUCAGGGUCUCCUAGAGUUUUUUCAGGAUACUACGAACUCAUUUCAUUUUCCGUGUGUUGAGAUGACUAUCACCCUACUCGACUUCACCAUUAUUAGCGGACUUGAGUUCAGCCCUUCCCCCAUUCCCAUGAGUGAUAAGUUGCAGCUUACGUCACCAGAGGUCGAGGAUCUUUUGGGUCCUAGUCUGCAUAAGGCUUAGGCUGACACGAGGUCGAAGAUGACGAGCAUGAUGUCGGUUCGUUUUAACCUCUUAGCCAAGGGUUUUCAUGAUAGGAGGACUACUCAAGAGCAGAGGGUCAGAAUUCUUGUCCUCUAUUGAGGACUAGUUCUUCUUACAAGAGGAGUCGUUCGUUGUUGUGGUAAUUGGGUGUCCUGCGUGAUCUCUUCGUGGUCUGCACAUUCGACUGAUCUACCGUCGCCUAUGGUGACUUGCUUCUUAGUCUGCAGCAGGGGGUGCCAUCAAUAGAGCGGGAGCACAAAGGUCACCGUCUCAGGUCUUUGGAAGGCCGUAGAGGUAAUUCUUCCUCUAAUCAUUUUAUUUAAGCUCGAGUUUCAUCAUUCGCUAGUUCUUAGAGUACUUGGAUUUCUCGCAAGUUUUGUUUUACAAGUAAUGCCCUUCCUUGGCUUCGAGGAGGCCUAGAGAUAGGGCGUUACCGGUAGCCGUUAGCUGGCGCCAUAUUUUAGUUGGUCCUUCCUCUACUACAGCUGCUGUUUGAGCUGCCAUUCUUAUAGUAAGGACAUCUCGUACUUUACAAUCCACUUUGAUUGUCAUAAAUUCUGCCAUGUCUUCUUAUUUCAGCGCCUUGAGGUUGAGUACCUCCCAUUGGCUGGUUUGGGUGACUUGCCAUUAGCAUUUUAGAUGAUGACAUAGAGGCGCAUCUUCUGGGGUACUACUCACCCCGUGUCGUGUUUGGGUGAGAGAGUGGCUAGGCAGCACUCUUUUGACUCCAUUCUAGUUCUUGAUGACCCUCUUCGCUCGACGAUGGAUCCAGGGGUCCUCAUGUAGCAUGCUUGUCAGGGCUUUCUAUCCAUGGGCUAUCAAGGGCUCGUAGGACAGGGAUUAUGAGGAGGCCUUGGUUCCUAGAUUGGCUCCACCUCCCUAUUGCGAUGAGGUUUAUGAAUCAUCAUUGAUCUUUUAAUUUUUUUUCAUAGCCUAGAGAGGCACUGAUCGUUUGAUCACUUUGUACGAGGAGAUGGGUCCGGAGGAUUUCGAACCCCUAGGAUUAGUUAUCCGGUAUCAGGGGAUACACAGUCCUGUUGAGGAGUCGAUCCCUCCUACUCCUGAGGAGUGGCAGCUGGUUGGACGAUCUAUAUCUCGCUCGAUGCGUUCGUUUUCACGGGAGACCAUGAUGAGGCUGGCGGUUGUUGCCGACGCCUGUAGGUACCUAUUGGCAGGCUAGAGUCAAUAAAUGUCUUGCCGAGGCUUAGCUGACUUUCAGCCGGUAUGGUUGUACUUAAGUAGUUAUUUAUUCGCUUUGUGUUCUUUGUUUUUUAUUGACUAGUAUUUCUUUGCCUUUGUUUUAACAUGCGGCUCCGCCGCGCACUUUCCCGAGGCAUGACGGCUUGAGGGAGGCGGGAGUAAGACGCCGUCGGACAUACUGUGAGGUUCCAGAUCGGGAAGAGACCGCUGGUCAGACAAAUGGCAGUGGUGAGACUAGCUUAGACCUCGAGCCUUCUCCACUUGACGAGUAUCCCCUAGGAUUUGUUCCUCCACCGGUGCGUCUGCUCAUCGUCCCGGGAUUCGUUCCUGAGUCAUUCGGAGUUAGUUCGUCGUCUCAGCCUUUCAUGCCUCCACCAAAGUUUGCUGGUAGGCAUUUGAGGCGGGUUCGUCUUCUCAGCCGCUUGUACUUCCUCCUCCAUUCGCUGGUGGGAGUUUUGAUCAGUAAAAUAUUCCUGGUGGUCCUCAGUUAACUUAAUGGAGAGUUCCUACGCUUGUGAUCCCCACGAUAGUCGAUGUCAGCUCUAUCCAGGAGACGACUCCUCAGAAUCAGUUUUGGGAGGGAUUCAUAGGUAUUUAUUGUGAGCCUCAUCCGUAAGGAUCCUAGUGUACCCGCAUCAUUUUCUUUUAGUCUAUAGGACUUUUGUUAUGUUUAUACAUUUUUAUUGACUCUUAUGUAUCGACAAUCUAUGUAUAUAUAUGCAUGUUCCAUUUUACAUUUA